CCUCCAGCUCCUCGAUCCGGCGCCGCUGCGUCUCCAGCAGCUUCUGCUGGCUCUCGAUGAUGUUGUUGAGCUCCAGCAGAUGUCGGGCAUCCCAGGCCUGGGCCCUGGCGGGGCUCGGAGGGGUGACCCAGGCCCCAGGGGGAGAGAGGUGAAGACCAGGCAGGCCGGAAGAGCAGCCAGGCCUGGGGGGAACCCAGCUCCCCCCGGGGACUGUUUAAUUAAUUAGCCCAGGUUAAUA